AGCGAACGCUGGCGGCAGGCCUAACACAUGCAAGUCGAACGAACCUUUCGGGGUUAGUGGCGGACGGGUGAGUAGCACGUGGGAACGUGCCUUUAGGUUCGGAAUAACUCAGGGAAACUUGUGCUAAUACCGAAUGUGCCCUUCGGGGGAAAGAUUAAUCGCCUUUAGAGCGGCCCGCGUCUGAUUAGCUAGUUGGUUGAGGUAAUGGCUCACCAAGGCGACGAUCAGUAGCUGGUCUGAGAGGAUGAUCAGCCACAUUGGGACUGAGACACGGCCCAAACUCCUACGGGAGGCAGCAGUGGGGAAUCUUGCGCAAUGGGCGAAAGCCUGACGCAGCCAUGCCGCGUGAAUGAUGAAGGUCUUAGGAUUGUAAAAUGCUUUCACCGGGGACGAUAAUGACGGUACCCGGAGAAGAAGCCCCGGCUAACUUCGUG
rnacentral:rRNA from 1 species